rnacentral:lncRNA from 1 species
UCUCAGACUCCUGCUGCUUUGCAUGACCUUUGUAAGCAUUUUGAGUGAGACUAUUGUUUUUCUAUGUUUACAGAAAUUAUAUGAAGACUGGAGAUAGAUGAAUUCUGCCUGGGACGAUGGGAGAAGGUUUUUUGGAGAAUGUAGUAUUGAGCUGGGCCUUCGCAGGCAGGAGAGACUGAGUGAGGAAAAGCAUGGAGGUGCAAAUGUGCUGGCCUGGAGGCAAGAUGUUACGUCUGGAACUCUAGGAUCCUCCUUCAUGUCUGCUGCUGGCUGUGUCAGGGCCAUGGCAGGAAGUUGCCAACACAGCCCAGAGUCCUGCAGAUACAACGUGGAGCGGCCUCAGAGAGGAGGAGAGCCUCCUUUUUGGAAUAGAAAAGCAACACGUGAAAGGCUUUCCCCCAACAUGGCAG